rnacentral:lncRNA from 10 species
UCGGAACGGGAAGAAGGCCCAGACUUCUGGAGCCGGGCUGGGGUGCUGCAGCGGCGCUCCCAGAGUGCCAGACGGAGUGGCCUCUUUGGGGAGCAGGCAAGCCCUUCCCUGGAAGGACCUUGGAAUUCAGGCAGCCCGGCAGUUAAUUAGCCCAGUAAUGGGGGCUGGCUGCAGUUGCUUCGGCUGAAGCUAUGGACCUGGAACAAUCAGGGCCUGUCUUCUGACAGAGAUGACAAAUGGAGGAAGUGAAAGGGGGAUGCGAGCAAAAAGAAAAGCAAGGACAAGAGGAAAUACCAACUGCAAAUUGCUGUAAUGAAUUUGGAAGGCAGGAGAGAAACUGCAGUGUCACAGAGCCAGUGUGGGGACCUUUCAGUGCAUCUGGGAGUGACAGUUGUAGCUGCACAGGAGAGAGAUGGCACAUGGCAAAGCAACCUCAUCAGCGAGCAGAGGCCUGGACUGGGGCUGGGUGCUUUCUGAAGGCUUUUGGAAGGACUGGAACUCAGAAAUGCAUGGGGCUGCUCAUCCAGGCUGAGGAGCACUAGGCAGGUCCCAACUAUCAAGUAUAAUAGGAAAAAAUGCGAUGCAAUUUAUAAUAGUAAAGAGAUCUUUAAUGAAAAGAAGUCCUCUGGUUCUGCAGAGGACCUGAUCAGCUUGGAGCACAUCUCUGGGGAAGAAGAGCUGGGAAAAGCUUAAAUGCUCCGUAUAAAAAAGGGCAAAGGAUUUGGAGUUCCCAGGAGCAAACCAAGAGAAGGGAAUGGGGAACAGAAAUGGAAAGAAAGGAAGACAAGGAUGGUAUGAGCUGCCCUUUUUUGUGGCGUCCAUCCCUAGCUUCUGGGAAGCCAGACAAGCUCUCAGUGCCUGUUGUGCCUGGAUUUCAGGGAAACCAGUGAAGAGGAUGUCCUAUAAAUGAAGUCAUGUGGCAUCUAGACUUCUAAACUGGCUUCUUUCUGUCGGCAGGAUGCAUUUGAGAUCGCCCAGGUUGCCACGUGUGUGAGUCACGUGUUUCUUUGGAUCGCUGAGUAGUGUUCUGUUGUGUGGAUGUACCAGUUUGUUGAUUUUUUCGCUGAGGAACAUAACAUUUGGGUUGCUGUCUCCCUCAGAGACUUUUGACCUUGUCUUUCGUGGGGUAUUUUUACUGGUGGGGAUUAUGAAAAAGUAUGCCAGUCCAGGCCAAGGCUUUGUCAUACUUAACCUUCUCCAGAGAUCUGAAGCCUCUUUAGGUGUAUUUCUUCAUUUAAUUUUGGCCUCCUAAGCUUGGUAUAAGUAACCAAUUGUAUGACUUAUAAAGAGAUUUUGUGAUUUUGUUUUGUUUUUAUAACUGCUUUGUUGAGAUAUAAUUCACAUACUGUACAAUUCACCCAUUGAAAGUGUACAAUUCAAUAGCUUUGGUAGAAUCACAGAGUUAUGCUUCCAUCACCUCCAUCAAUUUUAGGACAUUGUCAUUACUGCAAUUAAAAAAAAUUCACACCCAUUGGCUUUUUCUGUCCUCCAGUUUCCCCAACCGCUGGCAACCCCU